ensembl:lncRNA
UUCUGCGGUCGGCGCGGGAAAGGGGCGCCGGAGUGGACGCGCUCUGACCCCGGGCGUGGGUUGCAGGUUGUGCUCCCGGCCCACUCCCCAGCCUUGCAGCAUCCGCUGCCUCCGGGAAGGCGGGCCGAAUCUCGCCAGGUUGGUAGCUUGCGGAUGGGAGCUCGACCGACCCUCAUCCCCGGCCGACUCCUGGCGCCGGAGCGGACAGGACUGCGAGGAUGUGGAGAUUAUAUUUCGGGGACGGCGAGUGAAUCUGCGUUCUCGUCACCACCCAAGAAGUUGCACGUGGGUCUUCAGUCGCGAGUCCAGGUCUGGCUCCCCCCGUCGUCGUCCCCCCUCCCCACACACACCUGACCAUCGGAGCAGCAGCACCACUCUGGAGGGGACUGGGGACCCGUUCUGAGGGGCGAGGGCUCCUGAGGUCUGUCCCUAGUGUUUUCCUUGAAGUGUUUCCUGGUCACCAGUGACGGUGAUAGUUUCUUGAUGGACUCCCUUUACGACUGGAGGAGCAUCAUCUCCUCCCCAUUAUGCACCCUAGCAAAGAAAACACUGUGUGACAUCUUGAAGUAGCCUGGCAUCUAUCUGUCACUUGAAUGAUUGUGAAACUUCGGGAAGAUUUGGAAGCGACUGUUGAUGCUAAACCGAUACCAGGAAGUUGAAUGCUGCUUUUGUCUAUGUCGAACUGUUUGAGACCCCCUACCUUUCUCCUGGUGCUGAAUAGGG